UAUCCCCUCGCUCGGCUCACGCUGCUGUCGUUCUAGGGAUCCUCGGCUUCCCUCUGCUAGGAUUCCGAUCGGGGGGCACGUUCCUCCUCUCGGCGCCUCCACGGAUGAAAUGAAGCUCACGGUGAAGACAUUGAAGGGGAGCCACUUCGAUAUCGGGGUUCAGCCCAUCGAUACGUCUGAGCAGGAGAUGUCCCAUACCAUCAGCGAUACACCUGCUGAGCAAGAAGCAAUUGCACAAAUGGCUUCGAUCAUGCACAUGUCAUAGAGGCAUUCUUAGCUUGUGACAUGAAUGAGGAGUUGGCUGUGAAUUAUUUAUGAGAACAUGCAGGUGAUGAAGAGCAAAGGUAUCUACCAGAUCUCCAUAUUGUUGUGUUCAUCCUAUGUUCAUUUUGCGUUAUGUGAUGCAUCAACUAAACCAAUAUCUUCCUUGGUCCAACAAAAUUUCUGCUGUGCAUGACCAACUUGCCCCUAUAGCUUUGCAAUCUCUUUUAAGCAUAAUAGGACCACGAGAACUUCAGUGUAACUUCACAUGUUUAAAUAAACAAAGAAUGAAGUGGAUCGGUUUA